GUGAGGAAUAUUGGUCAAUGGGCGCAAGCCUGAUCCAGCCAUGCCGCGUGCAGGAAGACGCAUCUAUGGUGUGUAAACUGCUUUUGUACGGGAAGAAACACUCCCUCGUGAGGGAGCUUGACGGUACCGUAAGAAUAAGGAUCGGCUAACUCCGUGCCAGCAGCCGCGGUAAUACGGAGGAUCCAAGCGUUAUCCGGAAUCAUUGGGUUUAAAGGGUCCGUAGGCGGUUUAAUAAGUCAGUGGUGAAAGCCCAUCGCUCAACGAUGGAACGGCCAUUGAUACUGUUAGACUUGAAUUACAAGGAAGUAACUAGAAUAUGUAGUGUAGCGGUGAAAUGCUUAGAUAUUACAUGGAAUACCAAUUGCGAAGGCAGGUUACUACUUGUGGAUUGACGCUGAUGGACGAAAGCGUGGGGAGCGAACAGGAUUAGAUACCCCUGUAGUCC
rnacentral:rRNA from 1 species